rnacentral:rRNA from 1 species
UACGUAGGGUGCAAGCGUUGUCCGGAAUUAUUGGGCGUAAAGAGCUCGUAGGCGGUCUGUCGCGUCGGCUGUGAAAACCCGGGGCUCAACCCCGGGCCUGCAGUCGAUACGGGCAGACUAGAGUGCGGUAGGGGAGAACUGGAAUUCCUGGUGUAGCGGUGAAAUGCGCAGAUAUCAGGAGGAACACCGGUGGCGAAGGCGGGUCUCUGGCCGUAACUGACGCUGAGGAGCGAAAGCGUGGGGAGCGAACAGG